GACGAACGCUGGCGGCGUGCUUAACACAUGCAAGUCGAACGGAAAGGCCCUGCUUUUGUGGGGUGCUCGAGUGGCGAACGGGUGAGUAACACGUGAGUAACCUGCCCUUGACUUUGGGAUAACUUCAAGAAACUGGGGCUAAUACCGGAUAGGAGCUCCUGCUGCAUGGUGGGGGUUGGAAAGUUUCGGCGGUUGGGGACGGACUCGCGGCUUAUCAGCUUGUUGGUGGGGUAGUGGCUUACCAAGGCUUUGACGGGUAGCCGGCCUGAGAGGGUGACCGGCCACAUUGGGACUGAGAUACGGCCCAGACUCCUACGGGAGGCAGCAGUGGGGAAUAUUGCACAAUGGGCGGAAGCCUGAUGCAGCAACGCCGCGUGCGGGAUGACGGCCUUCGGGUUGUAAACCGCUUUCGCCUGUGACGAAGCGUGAGUGACGGUAAUGGGUAAAGAAGCACCGGCUAACUACGUG
rnacentral:rRNA from 1 species